UAGAGUUUGAUCCUGGCUCAGAACUAACGCUGGCGGCGCGUCUUAAGCAUGCAAGUCGGACGGGAACCUUGGGCCGCAAGGCUUGAGGUGAGAGUGGCGAACGGGUGAGUAACACGUAGGUGAUCUGCCUUGGGGUGGGGAAUAGCCCAUGGAAACAUGGGGUAAUACCGCAUGAGGUCUUGGCCUUUUGGGGCUUUGAUGAAAGGAGCAAUUGCUCCGCCUGGGGAUGAGCCUGCGGUCCAUUAGCUAGUUGGUGAGGUAAGGGCCCACCAAGGCGACGAUGGAUAGCCGGCCUGAGAGGGUGAACGGCCACACUGGAACUGAGACACGGUCCAGACUCCUACGGGAGGCAGCAGCUAAGAAUCUUCGGCAAUGGCCUAACGGCUGACCGAGCGACGCCGCGUGGACGAAGAAGGCCGCAAGGUUGCAAAGUCCUUUUCUUGACGAAGAAUAAGGCAGGGAGUGGAAUGCCCUGCUGA
rnacentral:rRNA from 1 species